rnacentral:rRNA from 1 species
AUACGUAGGGAGCGAGCGUUGUCCGGAAUUACUGGGCGUAAAGGGCGCGUAGGCGGCGCUUCAAGUCGUCUGUCAAAUGGGAGGGCUUAACCCUUUUUCGCAGACGAAACUGGAGAGCUUGAGAAGCAGAGAGGCAAACAGAAUUCCUGGUGUAGCGGUGAAAGGCGUAGAUAUCAGGAAGAAUACCAGUGGCGAAGGCGGUUUGCUGGCUGCAUACUGACGCUGAAGCGCGAAAGCCAGGGGAGCAAACGGGAUUAGAUACCCCGGUAGUCCUGGCAGUAAACGAUGUAUGCUGGGUGUGAGACUAGCGAUAGUUUCGUGCCGAAGUUAAUGCGAUAAGCAUACCGCCUGGGGAGUACGGUCGCAAGAGUGAAACUCAAAGGAAUUGACGGGG